GCGAACGAGGGGAAUUGAAACAUCUUAGUACCCUCAGGAAAAGAAAUCAAUAGAGAUUGCGUCAGUAGCGGCGAGCGAAAGCGCAAGAGGGCAAACCCAGUGCUUGCACUGGGGGUUGUAGGACUGCAAUGUGCAAGAGGUGAGUUUAGCAGAACAUUCUGGAAAGUAUAGCCAUAGAGGGUGAUAGUCCCGUAUGCGAAAAACAAACCUUAGCUAGCAGUAUCCUGAGUAGGGCGGGACACGAGAAAUCCUGUCUGAAGCUGGGUCGACCACGAUCCAACCCUAAAUACUAAUACCAGAUCGAUAGUGCACAAGUACCGUGAGGGAAAGGUGAAAAGAACUGAGGUGAUCAGAGUGAAAUAGAACCUGAAACCAUUUGCUUACAAUCAUUCAGAGCCCUAUGUAGCAAUACAGGGUGAUGGACUGCCUUUUGCAUAAUGAGCCUGCGAGUUGUGGUGUCUGGCAAGGUUAAGCAAACGCGAAGCCGUAGCGAAAGCGAGUCUGAAUAGGGCGCUUAGUCAGAUGCUGCAGACCCGAAACGAAGUGAUCUAUCCAUGAGCAAGUUGAAGCUAGUGUAAGAACUAGUGGAGGACUGAACCCAUAGGCGUUGAAAAGCCCCGGGAUGACUUGUGGAUAGGGGUGAAAGGCCAAUCAAACUUCGUGAUAGCUGGUUCUCUCCGAAAUAUAUUUAGGUAUAGCGUUGUGUCGUAAUAUAAGGGGGUAGAGCACUGAAUGGGCUAGGGCAUACACCAAUGUACCAAACCCUAUCAAACUCCGAAUACCUUAUAUGUAAUCACAGCAGUCAGGCGGCGAGUGAUAAAAUCCGUCGUCAAGAGGGAAACAACCCAGACUACCAGCUAAGGUCCCUAAAUCUUACUUAAGUGGAAAACGAUGUGAAGUUACUUAAACAACCAGGAGGUUGGCUUAGAAGCAGCCAUCCUUUAAAGAAAGCGUAAUAGCUCACUGGUCUAGUGAUUUUGCGCGGAAAAUAUAACGGGGCUAAAGUAAGUACCGAAGCUGUAGACUUGCGCACAACUUAGAUUAUUUAAGUUUAGAAUAUGAGAAACUAAGUUAUAUGUUUAGUUAUAUUUUUACUGAUUUUUAUAGAGUAAAGAUAGAAAUAAAACUUAGUAAAAUCAGUAAAAAUAUUCUUAGACUAAAGUUAAGUAGUUUAAGUUGUGUGCAAGUGGUAGGAGAGCGUUCUAUUUGCGUCGAAGGUAUACCGGUAAGGAGUGCUGGAGCGAAUAGAAGUGAGCAUGCAGGCAUGAGUAGCGAUAAUUAAUGUGAGAAUCAUUAACGCCGUAAACCCAAGGUUUCCUACGCGAUGCUCGUCAUCGUAGGGUU
rnacentral:rRNA from 1 species